AGUGAACGCUGGCGGCGUGCUUAACACAUGCAAGUCGAACGAGAACGGAAUAUAGCUUGCUAUAUUUGUCAGCUAAGUGGCGCACGGGUGAGUAAUGUAUAGAUAACCUGCCCUUAAGAAAGGAAUAACAGUUGGAAACGACUGCUAAUGCCCCAUAUGCCUUUAAUACAUAAGUAUGCAAGGGAAACGCUUUAGUGCUUAAGGAUGGGUCUGUAUGGUAUCAGCUUGUUGGUGAGGUAUGGCUCACCAAGGCUAUGACGCCUAACUGGUUUGAGAGGAUGAUCAGUCACACUGGAACUGAGACACGGUCCAGACUCCUACGGGAGGCAGCAGUGGGGAAUAUUGCACAAUGGACGAAAGUCUGAUGCAGCAACGCCGCGUGGAGGAUGACACAUUUCGGUGCGUAAACUCCUUUUAUAUAGGAAGAUAAUGACGGUACUAUAUGAAUAAGCACCGGCUAACUCCGUGCCAGCAGCCGCAGUAA
rnacentral:rRNA from 1 species